rnacentral:lncRNA from 7 species
AUUUAUUUAUUUAUAUUUUUUUUUGGUAACUUAAGAAUUAUAUAGGAAGACAAAUCCCACCCUCCUGUUCUUUCCCAUUACAUUCUACCCUUUGAUUAAUGGAAUGUUGACUCAGAGGCUUACAGGCAGUAUAGAGAGCUUGUUAGCAAUGAGCAUGCAAUACAGCAGCUGCAUACUCCUGACUCAUCAGCUCUAGAGUAGGCAGCAUCAGGAUAGGUACGGGUAGCCAUGUGAGUCUCCACUAGUAUGAAUCCAGUUAAAAUAGUACAGCUGUUUUUUUUAUGUAUUACUCCUAAGCUUUGUCCUAGAAACAGUAGAAUCAUGUGAAUCAUGGUGUCUGUCCAGGGUUGCAGAGAGAGGUAAAACUCACUAAUGCUUUCCAUGUCUUCUCAGGGUCUUCAUGCUCAUCAUUUACUGAAUUAGAUGAGGUAAUAGAACCCAUUAUAAUUUAUUUCCCCUCUUAAACCCGUUUCAGCUCUAUAAGCAGCAUCUAAGAUAUCCUGUUUGCCAACUUCUAAUUAUAAUAAAAAUGACUUGUGUAAAACAUUUUUAGGAAUGGCAAGAAGAUUUUUAUUUCAUGCAGUAUAACAUCAACUACUUUACUUACUUCUUUUAACUAUGUGGAUUCAGCCACAGUUGCACUUAAGUAGUGCAAUCUGUACGUUAUUAUACCAGAAACAAACACCUUUUAUUCUUACCAUUUUCUCAGUGUAAUAAGAAUGUGUUCACUUAGAAUUCUAUAUGUAGACUGGGCAGGCAUCCCUUGUGAGUGCAGUUCUUAGGAGAUAGCUUUGUUUACGUGAUAUUGCAUAACAUGGUAUUUCAUGUGCUAUUGUCUUUGACUGAGUCCGUGGGAUUUCAGAACCGCACUGCUUUGUCUUCUGUCCACAUGUUUCCCAAAAGUCUGGCACAUAGCAGGCAACUGGGAAAGACUCAGUAAAUAAUUAGAAAUGGUCCCUUGUGACAGCACUUUUCCUGUAAUUUAUUUUUUCAUUUGAAGUAUAGUUCAGAUACACUAUCAAGGAGAGACACUGUUCACCUAGUAUGUCUGACAAACAGAAAAUGUGUUAAGGUUUUCUAAUAACUGCUAUAAAAUGGAUUUCUUGAGCAGAAUAAUGUGUUAUCUAUGGGUAAUUUCCCAUGAAAGUAGAGACGAUCAUUCUGAUUAGACAUGGAUAUUAUCUUUUCCAGUAUGUUUCUGUCAAUGCACUGAUUCAGCAACCAUUUAGACCCCAAGGUCAGGGCUGUUCAUAAGUCCCAUUGAUUUCAAAGUUGAAUGUC